rnacentral:rRNA from 1 species
UGGGGAAUCUUGCGCAAUGGGCGAAAGCCUGACGCAGCGACGCCGCGUGAGUGAUGAAGGCCUUCGGGUUGUAAAGCUCUGUGGGGAGAGAAGAAUAAGUGCGGGCUAAUACUCCGCAUGAUGACGGUAUCUCCUUAGCAAGCACCGGCUAACUCUGUGCCAGCAGCCGCGGUAAGACAGAGGGUGCAAACGUUGUUCGGAAUUACUGGGCGUAAAGCGAGUGUAGGCGGUUCGAUAAGUCGGAUGUGAAAGCCCCGGGCUCAACCCGGGAAGUGCACUCGAUACUGUCGAGCUAGAGUAUCGGAGAGGUUGGUGGAAUUCUCGGUGUAGAGGUGAAAUUCGUAGAUAUCGAGAGGAACACCGGUGGCGAAGGCGGCCAACUGGACGAAUACUGACGCUGAGACUCGAAAGCGUGGGGAGCAAACA